rnacentral:misc_RNA from 1 species
GAUGAAGAACGUAGCGAAAUGCGAUACUUGGUGUGAAUUGCAGAAUCCCGUGAACCAUCGAGUCUUUGAACGCAAGUUGCGCCCGAAGCCAUUAGGCCGAGGGCACGCCUGCCUGGGCGUCACACGUCGUUGCCCCCCCAUCUACUCCUUCGGGAUUGCGGGGGGCGGAUGAUGGCCUCCCGUGCGCCUCGCCGCGCGGUUGGCAUAAAUGCCAAGUCCUCGGCGACGCACGCCACGACAAUCGGUGGUUGCGAAACCUCGGUUGCCCGUCGUGUGCGGUCGUCGCGCAUCGAGGGCUCGAAAAAAUUGCUGGGUUCCGGCUCGGCUUUCAACGCGACCCCAGGUCAGGCGGGGUUACCCGCUGAGUUUAAGCAUAUCAAUAAGCGGAGGA